GGGUUGUGAGGUUAAGCGACUAAGCGUACACGGUGGAUGCCCUGGCAGUCAGAGGCGAUGAAGGACGUGCUAAUCUGCGAUAAGCGUCGGUAAGGUGAUAUGAACCGUUAUAACCGGCGAUUUCCGAAUGGGGAAACCCAGUGUGUUUCGACACACUAUCAUUAACUGAAUCCAUAGGUUAAUGAGGCGAACCGGGGGAACUGAAACAUCUAAGUACCCCGAGGAAAAGAAAUCAACCGAGAUUCCCCCAGUAGCGGCGAGCGAACGGGGAGCAGCCCAGAGCCUGAAUCAGUGUGUGUGUUAGUGGAAGCGUCUGGAAAGGCGCGCGAUACAGGGUGACAGCCCCGUACACAAAAAUACACAUAUUGUGAGCUCGAUGAGUAGGGCGGGACACGUGGUAUCCUGUCUGAAUAUGGGGGGACCAUCCUCCAAGGCUAAAUACUCCUGACUGACCGAUAGUGAACCAGUACCGUGAGGGAAAGGCGAAAAGAAC
rnacentral:rRNA from 1 species